AGUUGACGGAUCAGGUAGGAAUAAAUACCUGAACUUAAGCAUAUCAAGAUGGGAGGGGGAAAAAAAAA
rnacentral:rRNA from 1 species